GUGAGGAAUAUUGGUCAAUGGGCGGGAGCCUGAACCAACCAAGUCGCGUGAAGGAAGAAGGAUCUAUGGUUCGUAAACUUCUUUUGCAGGGGAAUAAAGUGCAGGACGUGUCCUGUUUUGUAUGUACCCUGAGAAUAAGGAUCGGCUAACUCCGUGCCAGCAGCCGCGGUAAUACGGAGGAUCCGAGCGUUAUCCGGAUUUAUUGGGUUUAAAGGGUGCGUAGGUGGUUUGAUAAGUCAGCGGUGAAAGUUUGCAGCUUAACUGUAAAAAUGCCGUUGAAACUGUCGGACUUGAGUGUAAAUGAGGUAGGCGGAAUGCGUGGUGUAGCGGUGAAAUGCAUAGAUAUCACGCAGAACUCCGAUUGCGAAGGCAGCUUACUAAGCUACAACUGACACUGAAGCACGAAAGCGUGGGGAUCAAACAGGAUUAGAUACCCCAGUAGUCC
rnacentral:rRNA from 1 species